rnacentral:rRNA from 1 species
AUUGAACGCUGGCGGCAGGCCUAACACAUGCAAGUCGAACGGUAACAGAUCUAGCUUGCUAGAUGCUGACGAGUGGCGGACGGGUGAGUAACGCGUAGGAAUCUGCCUAGUAGUGGGGGAUAGCCCGGGGAAACUCGGAUUAAUACCGCAUACGCCCUACGGGGGAAAGGAGGGGAUCUUCGGACCUUUCGCUAUUAGAUGAGCCUGCGUAAGAUUAGCUAGUUGGUGGGGUAAAGGCCUACCAAGGCGACGAUCUUUAGCUGGUCUGAGAGGAUGAUCAGCCACACUGGAACUGAGACACGGUCCAGACUCCUACGGGAGGCAGCAGUGGGGAAUAUUGCACAAUGGGCGCAAGCCUGAUGCAGCCAUGCCGCGUGUGUGAAGAAGGCCUUAGGGUUGUAAAGCACUUUCAGCAAGGAGGAAGGCCUGAUGGUUAAUACCUAUCGGGAUUGACGUUACUUGCAGAAGAAGCACCGGCUAACUCCGUGCCAGCCGCCGCAGUAACAC